rnacentral:rRNA from 1 species
UACGUAGGGGGCAAGCGUUGUCCGGAAUCAUUGGGCGUAAAGCGCGUGUAGGCGGCUUGGUAAGUCUGCUCUGAAAGCCCGGGGCUCAACCCCGGGAGGCGGGUGGAUACUGCCGAGCUCGAGUCCGGAAGAGGCGAGUGGAAUUCCUGGUGUAGCGGUGAAAUGCGCAGAUAUCAGGAGGAACACCGAUGGCGAAGGCAGCUCGCUGGGACGGUACUGACGCUGAGACGCGAAAGCGUGGGGAGCGAACAGG